rfam:Bursaphelenchus xylophilus, Ka4C1 (inbred line), WGS project CADV01000000 data, contig: scaffold00351.43
CUGGAUGGCUAAGUAGUAGUGCCGCAGGUAACUGGCAAAAGGAGAUUACCUGUGCACCGCUCCUUAACCUUUUGU